UACGAAGGUGGCAAGCGUUACUCGGAAUUACUAGGCGUAAAGGGCGGGUAGGUGGUUUGUUAAGUCUGUUGUGAAAGCUCCCGGCUCAACUGGGAGAGGCCAACAGAAACUAUCAGGCUUGAGUAUGGGAGAGGGUACUGGAAUUCCUGGUGUAGCGGUGAAAUGCGCAGAUAUCAGGAGGAACACCGAUGGCGAAAGCAGGUACCUGGGCCAUUACUGACACUCAGAUGCGAAAGCUAGGGGAGCAAACAGG
rnacentral:rRNA from 1 species